AACAUCGCGCACCUGCGGGAACCUGCGGAAGGAUCAUUAACAAAUCCAUAUUUUAUGCCGCAAGGCGUAGAUAUAAAUUCGCUUGGCUGGCGCAAGCUGCCAAGUUGAAAGAUUGUGUAUAUAUUAUUAUAUAUAUAAAUGUAUGUGUAGUGUAGACAAGUGUGUGUGUAAAAACAAAAAUAAUUGACAACUUUCAACAACGGAUCU
rnacentral:misc_RNA from 1 species